CUCCUACGGGAGGCAGCAGUGAGGAAUAUUGGACAAUGGGCGCAAGCCUGAUCCAGCCAUGCCGCGUGCAGGAAGAAGCAUCUAUGGUGUGUAAACUGCUUUUGUACGGGAAGAAACACUCCGACGUGUCGGAGCUUGACGGUACCGUAAGAAUAAGGAUCGGCUAACUCCGUGCCAG
rnacentral:rRNA from 1 species